rnacentral:lncRNA from 1 species
UCAGAAACCUCACCAAGUUAUCAGGCUGGCAAAUAAUUUGACAGAUCUCACAAAUGGAACUGUUUUGAUUUACCUGUUCUGCUUCACAUGUAACACCUUCUCGGCCUGCCUCUCUGGCUCUGGCUGCUCCGCUGCUCCUGCCUUAAACAAUUGCAGCCAAGAGGAUUGAGACACUUGAAAGGCUGUCAUCAACUGUCCCCAUCAUCGCUCCCCUUUCUUCCCUGGGAAAGCAAGGAAUGUCAGGAUUGUUGCAGGAAGCAAGCAGCAUAAGGCUUGGCAGGAAGGUACGAGUCCUGGGAAGGAUAUACCUACACCUGGGGUCACGACUUCAAAUGCCUGCAAUGCCAGCUCUCUCGGUUACUCCAUGAACACGGCAUGUGAAGGCUGUUCUGCAGUUUGCCAGUCUCUACUGCCUCGCUUCGAGCCACCUGCAGUGAUACGCCUGGCUGUGUCUGAAUGUCAGGCCUAGAUUCCUGAGGGAGCGAACCUGACAGAAAGAGACCGACUUGGUGGCAGUCAAAAAGGCUUCUGACCAACAACUGUCAGCACCAGAGUCUGUAUUGAUAUCGAUAUUCUAUUCACUUGCCCGGUAGGUACCUGUUUUACAGAAGUCAUUGCUUUUUGGGGUCUUGGAGAAACCUAAAAAGAUAGAUGAUAAAGAUGAAUCACCUUGGUACUAACUUAGGAAAUUUUAUCAUCUUCCAGCACCCAGUGGCCCACAGGAGAGGUGGGUAGAACCACACCCAGUACAGCCAUACAAGCUGUACUGUCUCAGACUAGGAGUUAUAGCAGCCAUAAAAUACCCUGACCCCUAGCACAAACCUGCAUCCUACCAGGGUAAGUCUCCUUCAUGCGUAGCACAAUAAUAUCCGUAUUAUGUCAUCAGAAAUGGUCAUCAGGAAAGAUGGGAUAAAUCCUCUUACCAGGGUGUCUCUAACAGUAUAAAACUCUGAAGCUCCUUCCAAUCCUCUUAUGAUUUCAUGGUGUCUAGUGAGAUCCUGUCCAUAACCACUGUGGUGCCUUUCUGAUGUUUUCAUCUGUCGAGCAUUUGUUUUCUCUUGUUUUGGCAACAGCAUUUUUUUAGAC